rnacentral:rRNA from 1 species
CCUACGGGAGGCUGCAGUGGGGAAUAUUGCACAAUGGGGGAAACCCUGAAGCAGCAACGCCGCGUGAGGGAUGAAGGCUUUCGGGAUGUAAAGCUCUUUUAGCAGGGAAUAGAAUCGCAGUUUCCUGCAACUUCAGCCCCGACUACCUACGUGCAAGCCGCCGCGGUAAUACGGAGGGGGCAAGCGUUAUCCGGAUUUCCGGGGGUUAAAGGGAGUGUAGAGGGUAAGGCAAGUCAGAUGUGAAAGCUCAAGGCUCAACCAUGGAACUGCAUUUGAAACUGUCAGACUAGAGUACGGGAGAGGUAGGAGGAAUUCCUGGUGUAGCGGUGAAAUGCGUAGAUAUCAGGAGGAACACCAGUGGCGAAGGCGUCUUACUGGACCGUGACUGACGUUGAGGCUCGAAAGCGUGGGGAGCAAACAGGAUUAGAUACCCGAGUAGUC